rnacentral:rRNA from 1 species
GAUGAACGCUGGCGGCGUGCCUAAUACAUGCAAGUCGAGCGAACAGACGAGGAGCUUGCUCCUUUGACGUUAGCGGCGGACGGGUGAGUAACACGUAGGUAACCUACCUAUAAGACUGGGAUAACUUCGGGAAACCGGAGCUAAUACCGGAUAAUAUUUCGAACCGCAUGGUUCGAUAGUGAAAGAUGGCUUUGCUAUCACUUAUAGAUGGACCUGCGCCGUAUUAGCUAGUUGGUAAGGUAACGGCUUACCAAGGCAACGAUACGUAGCCGACCUGAGAGGAGGAUAGGGCACACUGGAACGGAGACACGGGCCAGACGCCGAGGGGAGGAAGCAGUGGGGAAGAUUGGACAAUGGGGGAAAGCCGGAUCCAGCCAUGCAGCGGGAGGGAAGAAGGUCUUCGGAUUGUAAAGCACUUUAAGUUGGGAGGAAGGGCAGUAAGUGAAUACCUUGCUGUUUUGACGUUACCAACAGAAUAAGCACCGGCUAACUUCGUG